CCUACGGGCGGCAGCAGUGAGGAAUAUUGGUCAAUGGACGAGAGUCUGAACCAGCCAAGUAGCGUGAAGGAUGACUGCCCUAUGGGUUGUAAACUUCUUUUAUAAAGGAAUAAAACGAGGCACGUGUGCCUUUUUGCAUGUACUUUAUGAAUAAGGAUCGGCUAACUCCGUGCCAGCAGCCGCGGUAAUACGGAGGAUCCGAGCGUGAUCCGGAUUUAUUGGGUUUAAAGGGAGCGUAGAUGGGUUGUUAAGUCAGUUGUGAAAGUUUGCGGCUCAACCGUAAAAUUGCAAUUGAUACUGGAAGUCUUGAGUACAGUUGAGGUAGGCGGAAUUCGUGGUGUAGCGGUGAAAUGCUUAGAUAUCACGAAGAACCCCGAUUGCGAAGGCAGCUUACUAAACUGUGACUGACAUUGAUGCUCGAAAGUGUGGGUAUCAAACAGGAUUAGAUACCCUUGUAGUC
rnacentral:rRNA from 1 species